rnacentral:rRNA from 1 species
CAGUAGCCGCGGUAAUACGAAGGGGGCUAGCGUUGUUCGGAAUCACUGGGCGUAAAGCGCACGUAGGCGGACUUUUAAGUCAGGGGUGAAAUCCCAAGGCUCAACCUUGGAACUGCCUUCGAUACUGGAAGUCUUGAGUUCGGGAGAGGUGAGUGGAACUGCGAGUGUAGAGGUGAAAUUCGUAGAUAUUCGCAAGAACACCAGUGGCGAAGGCGGCUCACUGGCCCGAUACUGACGCUGAGGUGCGAAAGCGUGGGGAGCAAACAGGAUUAGAUACCCCAGUAGUCCCUGUCUCUUAUAC